AGAUCCAGUUCAUCCUCUGUGACUCCAGGUGGAGGAGUGAAACGAAAGCGCUGAAGGAGGACGGCGAAGAAGAGGAAGACCUCCAUUCUAGCCAGACUUUCUCCUGGACACGCCCUGCGACCUGUCAGAGAACAAACUUCGGCCCUGGAAGGUCACAUCUGUGCUGGUGAUGUGAGGAAUAGCGAUGGGAAGGAUAUUCGCCAGUCUCUGUGUCUCAUGGAUGACAGCGUCAGUGUAGGGCAGGUUCAUCCUGUCCUCUACCUUGACCUGACGGCUUCCAACCACCCUGCUCAGCUCCUCCUGGACCUGGUCUGGAAAUUACAAAAUAAGAGAGGACACUAAAAGGCAAAGCAGAAGAUACUUGGCCAUGAGCAACAGACUCCAUCUCAGUGUAGUUGAUGUAGUAUCAGUACCAGCCGCAAAGAGGUUGCCAACAGAUGCCACAAGGUUCUUCAUGUUGUAGUAUGAGUCCGUAAUCCCUAAAUCCUUAUUAACAGGUAAAAAAAUUAAAUGGGUUUAUAUUUCAUUUGAAAGAAGCUCUAACCAUCUAUCUUCAAGCUAUUGAUUUCUUUCAUAAAAAUUGAAUGGUGUUCAA